CCUACGGGUGGCAGCAGUGGGGAAUAUUGGGCAAUGGAGGAAACUCUGACCCAGCAACGCCGCGUGAAUGAUGAAGGUCUUCGGAUUGUAAAGUUCUUUUCUAAGGGAAGAAGAAAGUGACGGUACCUUAGGAAUAAGCCUCGGCUAACUACGUGCCAGCAGCCGCGGUAAUACGUAGGAGGCAAGCGUUAUCCGGAUUUAUUGGGUUUAAAGGGUGCGUAGGCGGACUGUUAAGUCAGCGGUAAAAGCCCGGGGCUCAACCCCGGCGAGCCGUUGAAACUGGCUGUCUUGAGAUGUCGAGAGGUAUGCGGAAUGCGCAGUGUAGCGGUGAAAUGCUUAGAUAUUGCGCAGAACUCCGAUUGCGAAGGCAGCAUACCGGCGGCGAUCUGACGCUGAGGCACGAAAGCGUGGGUAUCGAACAGGAUUAGAUACCCUUGUAGUC
rnacentral:rRNA from 1 species